UCGGGCACGCACGGGAACCUGGAUCCGGCGAUCCUCCCGCCCCCGUGGCACUUCCGGUGCGUCACGGCUCCAUAAGAGCGCGUGCGCGGCGAGUUUCGCCCUUUUUCGUCAGGCGUCGUCUCGGGUGCUGUAUCUGCAUCGUCCUGGUCGCCCAGCUCGUAACUGGCCACAGCUCGUGCCGAGACGUCAAGAAAUCCAGAGUGACGGUGGGUAAAGGCCUAAGCAGCAUCUUGCAGUGGAUCACCGAACCUAAAUUUUAGUUGGGGAAUGGGUAUUUUGAGUAACAUUCUGGAAACUAUCGGGGCACUACUUAUAAUAUGAGUCUGAAUUAUUUUGAAUUUUGUAUUUCAGAUGCAUCCUUGGUAUGAUUGAAUAAAAUGGCUCRCAUGACUA